rnacentral:rRNA from 1 species
GACGAACGCUGGCGGCGUGCUUGACACAUGCAAGUCGAACGGAAAGGCCCUGCUUUUGUGGGGUGCUCGAGUGGCGAACGGGUGAGUAACACGUGAGUAACCUGCCCUUGACUUCGGGAUAACUUCAGGAAACUGGGGCUAAUACCGGAUAGGAGCUCCUGCUGCAUGGUGGGGGUUGGAAAGUUUCGGCGGUUGGGGAUGGACUCGCGGCUUAUCAGCUUGUUGGUGGGGUAGUGGCUUACCAAGGCUUUGACGGGUAGCCGGCCUGAGAGGGUGACCGGCCACAUUGGGACUGAGAUACGGCCCAGACUCCUACGGGAGGCAGCAGUGGGGAAUAUUGCACAAUGGGCGGAAGCCUGAUGCAGCAACGCCGCGUGCGGGAUGACGGCCUUCGGGUUGUAAACCGCUUUCGCCUGUGACGAAGCGUGAGUGACGGUAAUGGGUAAAGAAGCACCGGCUAACUACGUG